rnacentral:sRNA from 1 species
GCCAGGUGCAGUGGUGCAUGCCUGUAAUCCCAGCGGCUUGGGAGGCUGAGGCAGGAGGAUGGUGAGGUCAAAACCAGCCUCAG